ACGGAAGCGCCAACAACCACUACCAGCAGCAGUCCAAGCAGCAGCAGUUCACCAGCUACAAUCACUCGUGCUGCUCAUCCUCCGGUUAUCCGGACGUCGGUCGCGUACAGGUAACGGCCAAAAUUUUGUUCGGCUCCGUGGCGGCCAUUCAGUCAGUUAACGCCGAGAAAUGUCGCAAAAAAUAGCCGCGUCUUCCCAAAGCAGGACGACGUCGUACUUUCUCCCUUGUCUCCCAAUGUCGACCAGGCUAUGUCUGGUGGUUGGUCUCGCCGGCUUGUGGCCACUUUUUCGGCUGCUGCUGGACGCUG